AAUUCGCCCUUAGAGUUUGAUCCUGGCUCAGAAUCAACGCUGGCGGCGUGCCUCAGACAUGCAAGUCGAACGAUUGAGACUCCCUUCGGGGAGUGCAUAAAGUGGCGCACGGGUGAGUAACACGUAAGUAAUCUACCUUCGAGUGGGGAAUAACCCGGGGAAACCCGAGCUAAUACCGCAUAAUGCAGCGGCAUCGCAAGAUGACAGUUGUUAAAGGAGCAAUCCGCUUGAAGAGGAGCUUGCGGCAGAUUAGCUAGUUGGUAAGGUAAUGGCUUACCAAGGCUGCGAUCUGUAUCCGGUCUAAGAGGACGGUCGGACACACUGACACUGAACAACGGGUCAGACUCCUACGGGAGGCAGCAGUCGGGAAUUUUGGGCAAUGGGCGAAAGCCUGACCCAGCAACGCCGCGUGAAGGAUGAAGUAUUUCGGUAUGUAAACUUCGAAAGAAUGGGAAGAAUAAAUGACGGUACCAUUUAUAAGCUCCGGCUAACUACGUGCCAGCAGCCGCGGUAAUACGUAGGGAGCAAGCGUUGUUCGGAUUUACUGGGCGUAAAGGGCGCGUAGGCGGCGUGUCAAGUCAAUUGUGAAAUCUCCGGGCUUAACUCGGAACGGCCAAUUGAUACUGUCAUGCUAGAGUGCAGAAAGGGCAAUCGGAAUUCUUGGUGUAGCGGUGAAAUGCGUAGAUAUCAAGAG
rnacentral:rRNA from 1 species